rnacentral:rRNA from 1 species
UGAGGAACAUGACCUUCGGCGGGGGAUAGCCGGCCCAACGGCCGGGUAAUACCGCGUACGACCACAUGGGGACAUCCCUGAGUGGUGAAAGCAGCAAUGCGCCGAUGGAGUGCCUCGCGGCCUAUCAGCUAGUUGGUGAGGUAACGGCUCACCAAGGCGACGACGGGUANCUGGUCUGAGAGGAUGGCCAGCCACAUUGGGACUGAGACACGGCCCAGACCUCUACGGGGAGG